AUUGAACGCUGGCGGUAUGCUUAACACAUGCAAGUCGAACGCGAAAGUUCCUUCGGGAGCGAGUAGAGUGGCGGACGGGUGAGUAAUGCGUAGGAAUCUGCCCUUUAGUGGGGGACAACCUGGGGAAACUCAGGCUAAUACCGCAUAAUCCCUAUGGGGGAAAGCGGGGGACCUUCGGGCCUCGCGCUGAAGGAUGAGCCUACGUCGGAUUAGCUAGUUGGUGGGGUAAUGGCCCACCAAGGCGACGAUCCGUAGCUGGUCUGAGAGGAUGAUCAGCCACACUGGGACUGAGACACGGCCCAGACUCCUACGGGAGGCAGCAGUGGGGAAUAUUGGACAAUGGGCGAAAGCCUGAUCCAGCAAUACCGCGUGGGUGAAGAAGGCUUGCGGGUUGUAAAGCCCUUUCAGUAGGGAGGAUGGAGUGACGUGUUAAUAGCACGUUAUUUUGACGUUACCUACAGAAGAAGCACCGGCUAACUCCG
rnacentral:rRNA from 1 species